CGGACGGGUGAGUAACGCGUGGGCAACCUGCCCUGUACCGGGGGACAACAGCCAGAAAUGGCUGCUAAUACCGCAUAAGCCUGCUGUGCCGCAUGGCACAGCAGGGAAAACCACGGUGGUACAGGAUGGGCCCGCGUCUGAUUAGUUAGUUGGCAGGGUAACGGCCUACCAAGACAACGAUCAGUAGCCGGCUUGAGAGAGUGGACGGCCACAUUGGGACUGAGACACGGCCCAGACUCCUGCGGGAGGCAGCAGUGGGGAAUAUUGCACAAUGGGGGGAACCCUGAUGCAGCAAUGCCGCGUGGGUGAAGAAGCACUCCGGUGCGUAAAGCCCUGUCAGCAGGGAAGAAAAUGACAGUACCUGGACAAGAAGCCCCGGCUAACUACGUGCCAGCAGCCGCGGUAAUACGUAGGGGGCAAGCGUUAUCCGGAUUUACUGGGUGUAAAGGGAGCGCAGGCGGCGUGGCAAGUCAGAUGUGAAAACCCGGGGCCCAACCCCGGGAGUGCAUUUGAAACUGCCAUGCUGGAGUGCCGGAGAGGUAAGCGGAAUUCCUAGUGUAGCGGUGAAAUGCGUAG
rnacentral:rRNA from 1 species